rnacentral:lncRNA from 1 species
AACCAUGAGUUCUCAUGUGACGUGAGUAUGAUAACUCCUCAUUGAUCAUGUUCAGUGGACUCAUUCUCUAUUGAGCACCUACAUGCUUGUCUUAGUGUCAGUCACACCAAGGACUCGAGACCAGUCACUCUCCCUAAAAGAAAACAUAGCACGUACUGAUCUUAAUGGACUAUCAAUGCCCAAUUGGCAAUCCUAUGAUCAUGAAUGUUUAGGGUAUGUAUACAAAAGAGAACGGUCUCAUGAAUCCAACUUCUUUAUAUCACAUUCUCCCAAUUACAUAUUCCUUGGACUUAUCGUUUAAGCAUAUAACAUUUAUAUGAGAUGGCUUUAAACAAUAAUCUUUGCCCUUUAUAUUAAACUAGAUUAGUUUAACAUGUGAAAUGUUCGUAAAGUAUCAUCAUAUGAUUGGCUUUAGGGCACAUUUCCAACAUAUUGUGUAUGUGAUGUGGUGGCAAUGUGGUUGAUGUAGGGGUGGUGGAGAUGUCCAUGGAAUUGUGGUGGUGCUAGCAGUGAGGUGGUGGCAACGACAAUAAUGGUGGUGAUGAUGGAACUGAAGUUGGUGGUGGCAAUGCAAGGGUGAUGAUGAUGCCUAUGAAAAUGUGGUGAUAAUAGAGCUAUUGGUGGAUAAUGACAAUAGUGAGGUGGUCGCAAAGGCAAUGGGUGGUAGGGAUGAUGAAAGUGGGGGUGACGGCGGUGGUGAUGUUACAGUGGUGGUACUAUCCAUUGUAAGGUGGUGUUAGCAAAGGUAACGGUGACAUUCAUGGUGGGGUGGUGUGAUGG